UACAGAGGUCCCAAGCGUUGUUCGGAUUCACUGGGCGUAAAGGGUGCGUAGGUGGUGAGGUAAGUCGGAUGUGAAAGCUCGGAGCUCAACUCCGAAAUGGCAUUGGAAACUACCUCGCUAGAGGAUCGGAGGGGAGACUGGAAUUCUCGGUGUAGCAGUGAAAUGCGUAGAUAUCGGGAGGAAUACCAGUGGCGAAGGCGGCUUUCUGGACUGACACUGACGCUGAGGCGCGAAAGCCAGGGGAGCGAACGGG
rnacentral:rRNA from 1 species